UUCAAUCAAUUACUCUCUCUAAUCCAUUUCUCUCUCAACUCUCUCUCUCUAAAUGCAGAUUUCGUCUCUCUCUAUCUUCUUCAAUCCCAUUUCACAAACAACUUAUCAAUAGAAAGAAGACUUCCGUGAGUAGCAAUGGCAGAACAGAACUCACAGCUCUUCGAGCUCAACAAUGGCACAAUGAAGGUCAUCGUCUCCAACUAUGGCGAUUAGAAUCUUAUGGCGUCACUUCCAGGUACUGGAUUGAUGAAGAUAUUUUAAUGAAAGUGGUUGAAGCCAUGGGUCUGGCAGUCUAGGAAGAUGCUACUACUUCAGCUGAUUUCUUCAGGUGAUUUUAUAACCCUUUUAAUGAUAUGUUUUGAACAGUUGUUACAGAUCGAGUAUGCUUUUUUGAAGUGAAAUUGAGGUCAAUUUUGAUAUGGAUAACACGGAGUCCGAUCUUUUCGACGACAUUGAUAAUUAUUUCCAAGAUUCAGAUAUUCAAGUACUUCACAAGUUGAAGGUUUUCCAUUACAACCAUGUUGAUCAAACGAGAAAUAUUGCAGAUAUUCAUAAUUAUCAACAGAUUUGCUCUGCACUUUCAGCUAUGCAAUUCUAUGGGCAAAUCAAUUUGUCCAAGAUCGAGAGCCAGCCUCUAAGAAGUCGUCCACUUAGAUCGAGAGCCGGCCUCUAAGAAGUCGUCCAUUUGACUUUUGGUAAAUAUGUAUGAUCUUUUAAAGGAAGGGUGUAAUCUCACAAAUUUGAUAAUGGCGUUUGAUCAAUGUAAGAAGAUGCUGAAUGAAUUAAAUGUUGUUAAAGUGAAUACCGAAGAUACUGCUGGUGCAGUGCAGAUUGUAGCCUCUAAAGGCGUACGAGACACCAAAGCAAUUGCCAUUUCUCGCGCAGCAGAAAUAUAUGGGCUUCAUAUUCUCUCAAAAAAAUUUCAGGAUUAUUCCGAUAGAAAUCACCGGUGACUCAAAUACGUUUAUCCGCUUAUCAUUGUCUACAGCUAUGAUUCCGUGUUCCGGUUUGGAUCGAAAAAGGAAUGAAAAUCAAUGUUUGGAUCAACGAUACGCAUCUAACAAGUUGUGCUGUUAUUAAGAAUGAGAGAAUUGUUGUUGUUAAAGAUCAGUGUAGUGUAGAUGUAGUAGGUGGAUUUGUUCGCUCGACGCUCAUAUCGCGUUUUGUGGGUAGCGAUGCAAACUGGGCAAGCAUCAAUGUCAUUGAAGGACAUCCCACAUCUUUUUUAUCUGAAAGAAGCAGGGGCGACUGAUGCUAUUCUAGAAAACGCAGAGACAAUUUUGCAACUUGGAUCAAAGCUCCUGAAAGGGCUGGGUGAUAUGUUUGACGAUGUAAACUUUUUAAUUCAAAUUGUUAGAGAUUCGAUGGAGUUGCAAAACAAUUGCUGUAGCCAAGGACCCUGAUGUUACGGAGUCACUACAGUGAGAGUUGGGGAUUUGGUAUCAACAAGAAAAUCUGGGGCGGCACUCCCAGCCAAGAAUCAGUGAGAAUUAAACAAGCGGAGAGAGAUCACAUCCUAAUGACACAGGAACCACCAAAGCCGAAGUCCAAGCCCCAGUCAAGUGGGGAGGACGGGAGAGGCGUGUUAUAUUAUGAACUUGAUAUGGACAACAAUAUUCCAAACCAACACUAAAUAUGGAAGAUUGAGUUAUAUGUAUAUAUCAUAGGGUUCACUCUGCAUGACACAAAGCCAGUUGAAUGGGAUUUGAAGGAGAAGUCUGGUCAUAUAUUUGUAAAUAACUGAAUUUAGUUUUGACAU